rnacentral:rRNA from 1 species
UACGAAGGGGGCUAGCGUUGUUCGGAAUUACUGGGCGUAAAGCGCACGUAGGCGGAUUGUUAAGUUAGGGGUGAAAUCCCAGGGCUCAACCCUGGAACUGCCUUUAAUACUGGCAAUCUCGAGUCCGAGAGAGGUGAGUGGAAUUCCGAGUGUAGAGGUGAAAAUUCGUAGAUAUUAGGAAAGAACACCGGUGGCGAAGGCGGCCACUGGUCCGGUAC